UGAGGAAUAUUGGUCAAUGGACGGGAGUCUGAACCAGCCAAGUAGCGUGCAGGAUGACGGCCCUAUGGGUUGUAAACUGCUUUUAUAGGGGGAUAAAGUGUGCCACGUGUGGCAUAUUGCAGGUACCCUAUGAAUAAGGACCGGCUAAUUCCGUGCCAGCAGCCGCGGUAAUACGGAAGGUCCGGGCGUUAUCCGGAUUUAUUGGGUUUAAAGGGAGCGUAGGCCGUCUUAUAAGCGUGUUGUGAAAUGUCGUGGCUCAACCUGGGCAUUGCAGCGCGAACUGUGAGACUUGAGUGCGCAGGAAGUAGGCGGAAUUCGUCGUGUAGCGGUGAAAUGCUUAGAUAUGACGAAGAACUCCGAUUGCGAAGGCAGCCUUCUGGGGUGUUACUGACGCUGAGGCUCGAAAGUGCGGGAAUCAAACAGGAUUAGAUACCCUGGUAGU
rnacentral:rRNA from 1 species